ACCGGCGCACGGGUGAGUAACACGUAUCCAACCUGCCGUCUACUCUUGGACAGCCUUCUGAAAGGAAGAUUAAUACAAGAUGGCAUCAUGAGUUCACAUGUUCACAUGAUUAAAGGUAUUCCGGUAGACGAUGGGGAUGCGUUCCAUUAGAUAGUAGGCGGGGUAACGGCCCACCUAGUCUUCGAUGGAUAGGGGUUCUGAGAGGAAGGUCCCCCACAUUGGAACUGAGACACGGUCCAAACUCCUACGGGAGGCAGCAGUGAGGAAUAUUGGUCAAUGGGCGCAGGCCUGAACCAGCCAAGUAGCGUGAAGGAUGACUGCCCUAUGGGUUGUAAACUUCUUUUAUAAAGGAAUAAAGUCGGGUAUGUAUACCCGUUUGCAUGUACUUUAUGAAUAAGGAUCGGCUAACUCCGUGCCAGCAGCCGCGGUAAUACGGAGGAUCCGAGCGUUAUCCGGAUUUAUUGGGUUUAAAGGGAGCGUAGAUGGAUGUUUAAGUCAGUUGUGAAAGUUUGCGGCUCAACCGUAAAAUUGCAGU
rnacentral:rRNA from 1 species